rnacentral:siRNA from 1 species
GGCAUUCCUUUGUGGUGUGG